AAUGAAGGAAGGGGAAUGGGAAAACCCCAAUGACCGCCCACAGAACGCCUCCUGCUCUAAAGUCCGUGGUAUUGCGUCUGAGCCCCUAACGUUGCAGUGGAUGAUUCACGCUUUAAAAAAGAUAAUUGCAUUUUCCGCGGUUGUGCCAAAGCGGAUUUAACCAUGCGAAAACGCGCUUUUGUGCAGGAUGUCAUCAGGACAACCGAAAAAUAAUGAGAACACAAAGCGGUCAUGUCACACAUUAUACAGUCGUCUGGAUGAGCCCUGGAUCACUAUUGAAAAAAGUAUUUCUGCCCCCACACUGUCUCGACACAACAGGGAGGCAAUCAAAAGACUGAACUGCUGCUUCAUGCUUGUGACAGUCUGGAUGAGGUGGAACAUGCUGAGAAAGGACUUCAGACAAAAUAGAAGUACUGUUGGUGGGUGGAUCGUCUGGGUUUACAGCCUGUUCUGGAUCAGGUUGCACUCCAUCUGAAAGAUCAAGCUUGUAGUUUGGAGAAGAACAAGAGAGGUGUCAUGGCCCCGUCAGAGGACUCCUCAGAUGAGGACAACUCGGGAGUAACAGCAGCAGACCCAGGAGCAGCAGACUCAGAAGGAGACACGGAGGAGCCUCCUGAGAACCCAGCUCCUUCUCCCCCUCAGCUGCAGAGCACCCCAGAUACAGCAGAGUCCCUGCAGCCAGACACAGACAGUGAACAGGAUACUCCCCCCUCACCUGCAGAACGUAGACAGCAGAAGGUCAGGCAGAAGAGAGGCAGGCCUGUCUCCUUCAGGCCCAAACGCUGAGGACUCACACCUGCUGUCAACCUUGCUCUUUAUAAGGCACACCUUGGCUGCAGCUUGUUGCUGACUGCAACGUCAGGCGUGGCUUGUGUGUUCCUAGUUUCCUGGCACCCUCUUUCGGACUGACCCCUUGGCACUUGAUCCCGGACCUCUACUGACCUCACUUCUGGACUCCUGACUCGGCAAGUACGCUUCAGACAAGCCUGGCCCUUAUCAGCUCCUCUCCUCCUAGACCUGGCAGAUUUAUGACCAGACUGCCGGCUAAGGACUUUGCUUCCCUGCCAACCACCCAGGAAUUUCCAGCCCCCCACCGGCACUGCUGACGCAGUGUAGAGCUGACAGUAGCACAGUACUGGCUCUCCCACAUUUAAUUAACAAUUUAGUGACAAUUUUCUUCUUUCCAAUAUGUAUUUUAUGGAAUGUAUAA